AGAAUUGACGGGGAGCACCACAACGGGUGGAGCUUGCGGUUUAAUUGGAUUCAACGCCGGAAAUCUUACCGGGACCGACAGCAAUAUGAAGGCCAGGCUGAAGACUUUGCCGGAUUAGCUGAGAGGUGGUGCAUGGCCGUCGUCAGUUCGUACUGUGAAGCAUCCUGUUAAGUCAGGCAACGAGCGAGACCCACGCCCACAGUUGCCAGCGUACUCUCUGGAGUGACGGGUACACUGUGGGGACCGCCGCUGCUAAAGCGGAGGAAGGAAUGGGCAACGGUAGGUCAGUAUGCCCCGAAUUAUCUGGGCUACACGCGGGCUACAAUGGGUGGGACAAUGGGUAUCGACACCGAAAGGUGAAGGCAAUCUCCUAAACCCAUCCGUAGUUCGGAUUGUGGGCUGCAACUCGCCCACAUGAAGCUGGAAUCUGUAGUAAUCGUGUCUCAAAAUGGCACGGUGAAUAUGUCCCUGCUCCUU
rnacentral:rRNA from 1 species